rnacentral:rRNA from 1 species
GACGAACGCUGGCGGCGUGCCUAAUACAUGCAAGUUGAGCGCUGAAGGAUGGUACUUGUACCAACUGGAUGAGCAGCGAACGGGUGAGUAACGAGUGGGGAAUCUGCUUUUGAGCGGGGGACAACAUCUGGAAACGAAUGCUAAUACCGCAUAAAACCUUUAAACACAAGUAUUAAGUUUGAAACAUGCAUUUGCAUCACUCAAAGAUGAUUCCGCGUUGUAUUAGCUAGUUGGUGAGGUAAAGGCUCACCAAGGCGAAGGUACAUAGCCGGCCUGAGUGGGUGAACGGCCAACAUUGGACUGGAGCACCGGCCAAGCUCCUACGGGGGGCAGCAAUAGGGGAUCUUUGGCAAUUGACGGAAGUCUUACCGAACAACGCCCGGUGGGUGGAAGAAGUUUUCCGGUCGUAAAACUCUGUUGGUAGGGAAAGACAUUGGGGAGGGUAAAAAGCUCAUCAAGUGACGGUAACUACCCAGAAAGGGACGGCUAACUACGUG